GGGGCUGUAUUCACAAAGCAUUUUAUCUUACCGCUAGGAGUGCUCCUAACUCGCGCUAAAACAUUUUACGUAGGACUUUUUUCUUAAAAGUUAUUCACAAAGCCGCUGAGACCUACUCUUACUAAGGAUAAAUCACAAAGAGUGAACUAAGAGUGACGCGCCGUUGCUAUGGAUCACGUCAAUUCUCGUGCACGAGUUUAGAAGCGGUCAGUUCGGUGAUUGGUUGUUCAGACGAGCCCACUGAAUCCCCGAAAAACAAGGAAAUAGCCUAGGCUAGAAAUGAAUUCCUAAUAAGUAGUUAUAGUGCAGUUAGCAGAAUACACGCAUGAUGACAAUUUUGUGCAGACCACGAUAAUGACGUUGUAGCCUGCACGUUCAAGAGAGAGAGAAAGCAAACAAUAAAAAUACGUAAAAGUUAAAAGAAAUUAUGAACUACCCAAGUGUUGACUGAUUUGGGCCAAGGUGUUUACCUAAAAUGUGUUUUCAAAGUGAUCCCUAAAUGCCUGUCCACUCGGUUCCACACGGCCAAAUUCCUUGUAAUGUUGAUCGCCAUCAUCAUCAUCAUCAUCAUCAUCAUCAUCAUCAUCAUCAUCGUCUGGCUGUGGAAUGUUCCUCCUGUGGCAACCCCACGCCAUUGACCAGGGGCCAGCCGCUGCAGCACCGGCCCCGUGGACGGGUGGUGGAAGGAAGAUACCUCCCCCUCCACCCAGCUGCGCUAGAGGGAACAUCAACCGGGCCCAGGGAAUCAAGAACAUUGGGGGCACCUGGGGGACCAGGACAGAGGAGCUUUAAGGGCUGGGCACGUGGCAGACGGGGGAGAGGGCUGACGAGGAAGAGACGUGCUGUUGAACCGACGUGCUUUAACGAAACGUUUUCCCCACCAGGAUAAGCCGGAGGCGUCGGGUGCUGUUUCCCCGCCGACCCCGAGGAAGGGCUGGACCAGGAGGUCCCGUGCCCUUAUUCCCGAUUACGGAAGAACCUUAGUUUAUAUGAUUUCCCUUUUUGUGACUGGUUUUACAAUAAAACCCGUUGCACCGCAACCCUGCUUCGUUCAUUAAUUCCAGAAUCCCCGCCGCCGACGAAGGGGGUUGCCACACUCCGCUUGCAGAGGUUGUGUAGAAUAGCACAUACAGUGAUUACUGUGCUCGCCCUCUCUGGGGUGAGGCGUAUUUCACCGUGGAGGACAUGAAACCGACGUUUCAUCUGCC
rnacentral:lncRNA from 1 species